AGAGUUUGGUCAUGGCUCAGAUUGAACGCUGGCGGCAGGCCUAACACAUGCAAGUCGAGCGGAAACGACAWYAUUGAUUCUUCGGAGGAUUUAGAUGGGCGUCGAGCGGCGGACGGGUGAGUAAUGCCUAGGAAAUUGCCUUGAUGUGGGGGAUAACCAUUGGAAACGAUGGCUAAUACCGCAUAAUGCCUACGGGCCAAAGAGGGGGAUCUUCGGACCUCUCGCGUCAAGAUAUGCCUAGGUGGGAUUAGCUAGUUGGUGAGGUAAUGGCUCACCAAGGCGACGAUCCCUAGCUGGUCUGAGAGGAUGAUCAGCCACACUGGAACUGAGACACGGUCCAGACUCCUACGGGAGGCAGCAGUGGGGAAUAUUGCACAAUGGGCGAAAGCCUGAUGCAGCCAUGCCGCGUGUAUGAAGAAGGCCUUCGGGUUGUAAAGUACUUUCAGUUGUGAGGAAGGGUGUGUAGUUAAUAGCUGCACAUCUUGACGUUAGCAACAGAAGAAGCACCGGCUAACUCCGUGCCAGC
rnacentral:rRNA from 1 species